UACAGAGGGUGCAAGCGUUGUUCGGAAUUAUUGGGCGUAAAGGGCUCGUAGGCGGUCUGUCACGUCGGCAGUGAAAACACGGGGCUUAACCCCGUGCCUGCUUCCGAUACGGGCAGACUAGAGGUAUGCAGGGGAGAACGGAAUUCCUGGUGUAGCGGUGAAAUGCGCAGAUAUCAGGAGGAACACCGGUGGCGAAGGCGGGUCUCUGGACAGUUCCUGACACUGAGGCACGAAGGCCAGGGGAGCAAACGGG
rnacentral:rRNA from 1 species